GAGGCUGUAGCUCAGUGGUAGAGCGCUUGCCUAGUAUGUGUGAGGCACUAGGUUCUAGCCUUAGCACCACA
rnacentral:tRNA from 1 species